UACGGGGGGGACAAGCGUUGUUCGGAAUUACUGGGCGUAAAGGGCUCGUAGGUGGCCAACUAAGUCAGACGUGAAAUCCCCAGGCUUAACCUGGGAACUGCGUCUGAUACUGGAUGGCUAGAGUUUGGGAGAGGGAUGCGGAAUUCCAGGUGUAGCGGUGAAAUGCGUAGAUAUCUGGAGGAACACCGGUGGCGAAGGCGGCAUCCUGGACCAACACUGACGCUGAGGAGCGAAAGCCAGGGGAGCAAACGGG
rnacentral:rRNA from 1 species